rnacentral:rRNA from 1 species
UACGGAAGGCAGCAGUGGGGAAUAUUGCACAAUGGGCGAAAGCCUGAUGCAGCUAUGCCGCGUGUAUGAAGAAGGCCUUAGGGUUGUAAAGUACUUUUCAUCGGGGAGGAAAAAACAAAACUAAUAAUUUUAUUUCUUGACGUUACCCGAAAAAGAAGCACCGGCUAACUCCGUGCCAGCAGCCGCGGUAAUACGGAGGGUGCUAGCGUUAAUCAGAAUUACUGGGCGUAAAGAGCACGUAGGUGGUUUUUUUAAAGUCAGAUGUGAAAUCCCUGGGCUUAACCUAGGAACUGCAUUUUGAAACUGAAAUACUAGAGUAUCGUAGAGGGAGGUAGAAUUCUAGGUGUAGCGGUGAAAUGCGUAGAUAUCUGGAGGAAUACCUGUGGCGAAAGCGGCCUCCUAAACGAAUACUGACACUGAGGUGCGGAAAGCGUGGGGAGCAAACAGGGAUUAGAUACC